GUGAACAAAACAAACAAGCUGGUGGUAGUAGAUUACCAUUAAGCAAACUGAAUCCAGAAAUUCUACAUGACACAUCAAGCAUUUGCAUCAUGCCAAUCAAAUAUGCAUAGGUCCACACCCACAUCAAUCAGGCAGAUCUGUGAAGGCCUCUAUCAAGCAUAACAAAAAUUUACACCUCAUUCAUUGUAAAUACCUCCUGAUUCCCGAAUGCAAAACCUAAGUUACAAUCAGACAUAAACUAGAAUCACACUGCAAAUUUUUACAAUUGCCCCCCUACAAUUAUUAUUGACUCCCUAAACUUAAG
rnacentral:misc_RNA from 1 species